UCUGCGGGGCGUUGAUGACGCCCGUGUUGUAGCCGAACUGCAGGGAUCCCAGCACUGCGCCGCCCACUGCCAGCAUCAGGCGAGCCGUCAUCUUGCUGCCGCUGUCCAUGG